rnacentral:lncRNA from 1 species
GUGCAUAUAUUUUAGUAUACAUGGAAACUGACUUCAAGUAGGAGCCAUCUAUCAGGUGACACAAAAUAAUAACGGCUCAGAUAUUGUAUAGGUUUAAAAUGUACAGAUGACAAACUCUAACCUACAAACUCUAGCCUUAACUACGCUUCUUUACAAAUAAGAAUUCUAUAUCGACUCAAUUCGUACACAUCAAGGCAAGACAUCACCCCUGAUCUCAUCCUUCAUCACAUACAUGCAAUAAUUAGUCCUCUCGCCAGCAACAAGGAGCAGACAGGUUGUGUGACAGUACUUGCAGGUAAUGUUCAUUAUCUCCUUCCACAAAUAAUACAUGCAUGUCUCCUUGCAAUGAUUAAUAUAUGCAUUAACUCUCCGAUCUCAUUACACAUGCUUUGUAUUAACUUGAAUUACAGAGAGAAAGCGCCGAUAAACUUGGGAUUCAGAUCACCAAUUACAGAGCAUGCACAUCCUGGCAAGACAUUGCCCUCCUCUCGCAAGCAGCAAGGAGCAGACAGGUUGCGUGGCAGUACUUGCAGCCAAUGUUCAUUAUCUCCUUCCACAAAUAAUAUAUGCAUGUCUCCUGCAAUGAUUAAUAUAUACAUCAACUCUCCGAUCUCAUUACACAUGCUUUGUAUUAACUUGAAUUACAGAGAGAAAGUGGCGAUAAACUUGAGAUUCAGAUCACCAAUUACAGAGCAUAUACGUCCUCUCAUUGGAAGGUGACAACACAAGUAUCCUUCUUUCACAAUAGAAUAAUGAUUUUAGACGAUUUAAAAGCCUUUGUUGGAAAACAAUCCAUACGAAAAAGAAUCUUAUCAGGAAACUAUCUGUUCCAUACAAAUACCUUCAGCAUUCUUGCAAACAAUGUGGUGCCUGACAUGUUUACAUUAAAUUUAUCAUCAGCAAUUCUGAAUUUCUGGACAAAUAAAAUCAGUUACGUAUAAGAUGCCCUCACUUAUAUCUCAGAAUAAAAUCAGUUACACUUUUUACCUCAUUAUUUCAGGAUUCACUAGCCGCAGUCAACAUGCGUCGAACACACACUAGAGCAAAUCAAAACAACGGAAGGUAUUCAUUACCACAGUACCAAAAAUAAUCAUAUAAAUAUUAAUUUACCUGGAUUAUUAAAAUGAUAACAAAAUAAAAUGCAGGAAUAUGUGGCAUCAUCAAGGAAUCCAAAUACCUGAGCAAGCAGCCUCUAAACUAGCAACACUCGAAUCUAAUGAUAGUCAAUCAGACAUCAUUAGAGCAGCAGCAAAGGAAGCUAGGCGGAAAAGGAAAGAGAUCCUCCAGCUGAAAAAGGCAAGCAAACGACUAAGGACAGAAAAGGGCAAUGACUGUGAAGUAUCUAAUGUAGCGAAGGAUGUCACUCAAGUUUCAUAUCUGGGAAAACCAAAUUGUGUUUGUGAAUUUUGCAAUGCCAUUAUGUGGCAUGGAGAGAGAAGCACAAGCACAGGUAACAUCACAGUUCCAAAAUUUGGUCUCUGCUGCAAGGAAGGGAAAGUUAAAUUGCCACCACUGAAGCAAGCUCCGCUGUAUCUCCGACAGCUACUACGUUACAAUGAAAGAAGAGAAUCAUCAAAUUUCCGCCAGAACAUCAGGUUGUACAACUCGAUGUUCGCAUUCACUUCAAUGGGAGGAAAGGUUGACUAUGAAAUUAAUAAGCAGGCAUCUGGACCGUAUGUUUUCCGUUUGAAUGGCCAGAAUUACCAUCAGAUUGGCACUUUACUUCCUAAGGAUGGCGUGACGAAACCAAAAUUUGCCCAAUUGUACAUACAUGACACAUAAAAUGAAGUGCGGAAUAGGAUUAAUGCAUCUGCUUCAACGGAGAGUAAGACACAACCAGAUGAAAACAUUGUCAAAGGACUACUGGAGAUGCUUGAUGAGCACAAUGUUUUAGUCAAAUCAUUUCGUAUGGCAAGGGACAGAUUCCAAAACCGACGUAUUAAAGAUGUAAGACUAAGAUUGAUCAACAAAAGGUCGAAAGAUGGACGGCAAUACAACCUACCAUCUGCCUCAGAAGUCGCAGCACUAAUUAUUGGGGAACAAGAUGGAGAAAAUAAUGAAUUUGAUAUAAUAGUUGAGACCAAAGACAGAAUGUUACAGAGGAUUUCAGAGUUGCACCCAAGCUAUAUGUCAAUGCAGUACCCCUUGCUUUUUCCAUAUGGAGAAGAUGGUUUCAGACCAGAAAUAGAGUAUGAAAAUAAAAGAGGCAACAAAGGUAAAAGAAAGUAUGUAACAAUGCUGGAGUUUUAUGCGUAUCGCAUACAACAAGGUCUGAACCAAGCUUCAACAUUGCAAAUGAGUGGACGUUUGUUCCUGCAGUUCUUAGUUGAUGCAGCAACGUGCAUUGAACAAUGGAGACUAAAUUGGUACAGGACAAACCAAGGUAAGUUGAGGACAGAACUGUACAGAGGACUGCAUGAUGCAAUAGAAAAUGGAGAUACACGAACCGAACAAGUUGGACAAAGAAUCAUACUACCCUCAUCAUAUAAUGGCAGUCCAAGAAAUAAGCAGCAAAACUACCAAGAUGCCAUGGCGAUUUGUCGUUGGGCUGGCUAUCCUGAUCUCUUCAUUACUUUUACAUGCAAUCCAAAAUGGCUGGAAAUACAAGAUAUGUUGGAUCUGAUUCCAGGCCAGAAACCUGAAGAUCGUCCAGAUAUCGUUGCCAGAGUAUUCAUGUUAAAACUGAAGGAACUUAUGAAUGACAUAAAGAACGGAAAGUGUUUUGGACAAACAAUUGCAAGUAAGUUUACCUAAUAAGUACAUAUUCACUCUUUCCUAGAUGAUUGUCCUAACUCAUUUCUUCUCAAAUUUGUUUACUUUCAUAAAGUUGUCUACACUAUAGAGUUCCAGAAAAGAGGCCUCCCGCAUGCACACAUACUGGUGUUUCUACACCCAGAUGAUAAAGAUCCAAGUCCUUCCCAGAUCGACAAAAUCAUAUCAGCCGAAAUUCCUGAUAAGAAUAGUGAUCCAGAAGGGUACGAAGCAGUGCAAAAUUACAUGAUACAUGGUCCAUGUGGUCAAGCACACCCAAAAUCACCAUGCAUUGUCGAUAAAAGUUGUGCCAAACAUUUCCCCAAGAAUUUUUGCACUGAGACUACCAUAGAUGAAGAUAACUAUCCAGUACAUAGAAGGCAAGAUGAUGGCAACACUGUGGACAAGAAUGGAGUGAAGCUAGACAAUAGAUUUGUUGUGCCAUACAAUAGAAACCUACUGGUCAAGUAUCAAGCCCACAUAAAUGUUGAGUGGUGCAGCAAAUCAAGGUCUAUAAAGUAUUUAUUCAAAUACAUCCACAAAGGAGAAGAUCGAACAACCGUCUUGAUAGAAGCGGAAGACCAACAAAGUGAAACAAGAGCUAGCAAAUUAACAAACAGGGACGAAAAAAUCAAGAGGUACCUUGAUGCCCGGUACAUAUCUGGAUGUGAAGCCGCAUGGCGCAUAUUUCAGUUUCCUCUUUAGUACAGAGAGCCUGCGGUUGAAAGGUUACAAUUUCACCUAGAAAAUGAACAUGUUGUGGUGUUCCCGGACUCAAUGGAUUUAGAUCAAAUUGUAUCCCGGCCUAACAUAGAAAAGACAAUGUUCACAGAAUGGAUGACAGCCAACUAGUUGCAUGAAGAAGCUCGCAGAUUGACGUAUGCAUAGUUUCCAACCAAAUGGACUUGGCAUGCACAAGAGAAAGAAUGGAGGAAAAGGCGUGGUGGAAAAAAACCAUAGGCAGGAUUUACUAUGCACAACCAACGAGCGGUGAAAAAUACUACUUGAGAAUGCUGUUAAAUACCGUCAAAGGAUGCAGAUCAUAUGAAGAAAUUCGAACAGUUGAUGGGGUUGUACAUCCAACAUUCAAAUCCACAUGUUAUGCUCUUGGGCUACUUAAUGAUGACAAAGAGUGGGAUGACUGCAUCAAGGAAGCAUCCCAUUGGGCCUCCACUCCUCAAAUGCGCCAACUUUUCUGCACAAUACUUUUAUUUUGUGAGGUGAUGGAUCCCGCAAAGUUGUGGCAAACAAAUUGGGAGUUACUAUAUGAGGAUAUCCAACGUCGGCAAAGAAGAAUAUUCAAUUUUCAGGCCCUGGAACUCAACUCGGCACAAAUAAAGAGCCUGCUCCUGGCAGAGAUAGAACAACUAUUGACUAAAGGUAGUAAGUCCCUCAAAGAUUUUCCAGGAAUGCCACUACCAGAUAGUUCAAUUCUUCAAGAUCUAAAUAAUAGAUUAGUAAAUGAGGAACUAAACUAUGAUAAAGAUUCUUUAAGAAUAGAACACAUGAAGUUACUGCAUAAGCUAAAUCAGGAUCAGAGGAUGGCUUUUGACGUUAUAAUAGAAUCAGUCAACGACAGUCUUGGAAAAUUGAUUUUUGUUGACGGAUAUGGUGGAACUGGAAAGACAUUUCUGUGGAAAGCAGUCAUGACAAAAUUAAGAUCUGAAGGAAAAAUAGUUCUAGCAGUUGCUUCAAGUGGUAUAGCAGCACUUCUUUUACAGGGUGGAAGAACAGCUCAUUCAAGAUUUCACAUUCCCCUCAAGAUCACUAACGAGUCCACAUGCAACAUCAAGCAAGGAACAUUUCUUGCGGAGCUAAUAAAGAAAACGUCACUGAUAAUAUGGGAUGAAGCACCUAUGACACACAAGCACUGUUUUGAGGCACUAGAUAAGAGUUUGAGAGACAUACUUCGAUUCACAUAUGAGGACGCAGAGCAUAGACCAUUUGGAGGAAUGACAGUAGUCUUGGGAGGUGACUUCAGGCAAAUCCUACCAGUUAUACCAAAGGGGAAAAGGGAACAUAUCAUUUCUGCAUCAAUAAAGAGAUCCUACCUAUGGAAGAACUUUGAGGAGUACCGACUCAAAGAAAAUAUGCGUCUGAAUUCAUCCGAAGGUAGUCCAGAAGAGAAAGCAAAAACAGCUGAAUUCGCAAACUGGAUACUAAACAUAGGCGAUGGCACAACGUCAACAAUAGAUGAAGAGGAUUGGGUUAGCAUCCCAGAGGACCUUAUUUUACAUGAAGGGGAUGACCCGAAAGCAUCUAUUGUUAACACCACCUAUCCUGACUUACACAGAAAAUACACUGAUAGAACAUACCUUGAGGAAAGAGCGAUCUUGUGCCCAAGAAACGAGACUGUUGACCAGAUUAAUGCCUACA